rnacentral:sRNA from 1 species
GGGUUUUUUUAAACCGGGGGGGGUUUUAAAAAAACCCCGGGGGUUUUAAAAAAACCCCCCUUUAAAAAAAAAAAAAAAAAACCCCCCCGGGGGGUUUUAAAAAAAAAACCCCGGGUUUUUUUUUUAAAAAAAAGGGGUUUAAAAAACCCCCGG